rnacentral:rRNA from 1 species
ACUCAAAUGAAUAGACGGGGGCUCACACAAGCGGUGGAGCAUGUUGCUUAAUUCGAAGCAACGCGAAGAACCUUACCUGGGUUUGACAUGCAUGGAUUAGUCCUUGGAAACAGGGAUGACACCCGCAAGGGUGGAACAUGCACAGGUGCUGCAUGGCUGUCGUCAGCUCGUGCUGUGAAGUGUCGGGUUAAGUCCUCUAACGAGCGCAACCCCUGUCACUAGUUGCUAACGGGUAAUGCCGAGGACUCUAGUGAGACUGCCGUUGUAAGACGGAGGAAGGUGGGGAUGACGUCAAGUCCUCAUGGCCCUUACAUCCAGGGUUGCAAACGUGCUACAAUGGCGCUUACAAAGCGACGCGAGGCCGCAAGGCGGAGCAAAUCGCAAAAAAGGCGCCCCAGUUCGGAUUGCAGGCUGCAACCCGCCUGCAUGAAGUUGGAAUCGCUAGUAAUCGGAGAUCAGCUACGCUCCGGUGAAUAAGUUCCUGAGCCUUGUACACACCGCCCGU